GACGAACGCUGGCGGCGUGCCUAACACAUGCAAGUCGAGCGAUGAAAUCCCUUCGGGGAUGGAUUAGCGGCGGACGGGUGAGUAACACGUGGGCAACCUACCUCAAAGUGGGGGAUAGCCUCCCGAAAGGGAGAUUAAUACCGCAUAACAUUAGUUUUUCACAUGAAGGACUAAUUAAAGGAGUAAUCCGUUUUGGGAUGGGCCCGCGGCGCAUUAGCUAGUUGGUGAGGUAAUGGCUCACCAAGGCGACGAUGCGUAGCUGACCUGAGAGGGUGAUGGGCCACAUUGGAACUGGGACACGGUCCAGACUGCUACGGGAGGCAGCAGUGGGGAAGAUUGCACAAUGUGGGAAACCUUGAUGCAGCAACGCCGCGUAAGUGAUGAAGGUCUUCGGAUUGUAAAGCUCUGUCUUUUGGGACGAUAAUGACGGUACCAAAGGAGGAAGCCACGGCUAACUACGUGCCAGCAGCCGCCGUAAUAC
rnacentral:rRNA from 1 species